CCUACGGGAGGCAGCAGUGGGGAAUAUUGCACAAUGGGGGAAACCCUGAUGCAGCGACGCCGCGUGAGUGAAGAAGUAUCUCGGUAUUUAAAGCUCUAUCAGCAGGGCAGAAAAUGACGGUACCUGACUAAGAAGCCCCGGCUAACUACGUUCCAGCAGCCGCGGUAAUACGUCGGGGGCAAGCGUUAUCCGGAUUUACUGGGGGUAAAGGGAGCGUAGACGGCGGUGCACGUCCGGAGUGAAAGCCCAUGGCUGAACCAUGGUACUGCUCGGGAAACUGUGGAGCUGGAGUGCGGGAGGGGCAGGCGGAAUGGCUAGUGUAGCGGUGAAAUGCGUAGAGAGUAGGAGGAACGCCGGGGGCGAAGGCGGCCUGCGGGGCCGUAACUGACGUUGAGGCUCGAAAGCGUGGGGAGCAAACAGGAUUAGAUACCCGUGUAGUC
rnacentral:rRNA from 1 species